rnacentral:lncRNA from 1 species
CUUACCUUACCAUGGCCAGCCAUGCACCUAGACAAUUCACUUCAUCAUUUAUUUUUUUUUCAUUUUUCUCUCCUACUUUCCUUUAGCCGCCCCUCCUCUUUGUACCUCCCAUUUUUCCUUAAAUUUUCUUUGUUUCACCACUCCCCUUUACCUUUUCUCCUCCAUUCCUCCACCAAUAAAGGGCAUCACACCUCCAGCUCACCACCAUCAAACCAUCGCCUCACCUCCACUGUCACCACCGUCGCGUCGCCGUCGUCGACAACAAUCAAAAUUUAAAUUUCUCUUCUUUUCUUCCCCUCUUAUCAUAAUCAAUUUAUUUUUAAUCUCAAAUAAGGUUUUCCGUACUUG